GACGAACGCUGGCGGCGUGCUUAACACAUGCCGGUCGAACGAAGAGCGAUGGAAGCUUGCUUCUAUCAAUCUUAGUGGCGAACGGGUGAGUAACGCGUAAUCAACCUGCCCUUCAGAGGGGGACAACAGUUGGAAACGACUGCUAAUACCGCAUACGAUCCAAUCUCGGCAUCGGGACUGGAUGAAAGGUGGCCUCUAUUUAUAAGCUAUCACUGAAGGAGGGGAUUGCGUCUGAUUAGCUAGUUGGAGGGGUAACGGCCCACCAAGGCGAUGAUCAGAAGCCGGUCUGAGAGGAUGAACGGCCACAUUGGGACUGAGACACGGCCCAGACUCCUACGGGAGGCAGCAGUGGGGAAUCUUCCGCAAUGGACGAAAGUCUGACGGAGCAACGCCGCGUGAGUGAUGACGGCCUUCGGGUUGUAAAGCUCUGUUAAUCGGGACGAAUGGUUCUUGUGCGAAUAGUGCGAGGAUUUGACGGUACCGGAAUAGAAAGCCACGGCUAACUACGUG
rnacentral:rRNA from 1 species